rnacentral:tRNA from 1 species
GGAGAGGUCGCAUAGUGGCCUAGUGCACUCGCUUGGAAAGCGAGCAUACCGCAAGGUAUCGCGAGUUCGAAUCCCGCCCUCUCCGCCA